AGCGAACGUUUGCGGCGGGCCUAACACAUGCAAGUCGAACGAUAACCCGGGCUUCGGUCUGGGGGAAGGUGGCGCACGGGUGCGUAACACGUGGGUAAUCAACCCUUUGGAUCGGGACAACCCGGGGAAACUCGGGCUAAUACCGGAUAAGUCGUGGGAGUCUUCGGGCACCCACGGGAAAGGCCCGCAAGGGCUACCAUUGGACGAGCUCGCGGCCCAUCAGCUUGUUGGUGAGGUAAUGGCUCACCAAGGCUAAGACGGGUAGCUGGUCUGAGAGGAUGAUCAGCCACACUGGAACUGAGACACGGUCCAGACUCCUACGGGAGGCAGCAGUGGGGAAUAUUGCGCAAUGGGCGAAAGCCUGACGCAGCCACGCCGCGUGUGCGAUGAAGGUCUUCGGAUCGUAAAGCUCUGUGGGGGAGAAGAAGAAAGCCGGUGAAGAGCCGGCCCUGACGGUAUCCCCUUAGCAACGUCACCGGCUAACCUCCGUGCCAGCAGCCGCGGUAAA
rnacentral:rRNA from 1 species